AACGAACGCUGGCGGCGUGCCUAAUACAUGCAAGUCGAGCGGACAGAAGGGAGCUUGCUCCCGGAUGUUAGCGGCGGACGGGUGAGUAACACGUGGGUAACCUGCCUGUAAGACUGGGAUAACUCCGGGAAACCGGAGCUAAUACCGGAUAGUUCCUUGAACCGCAUGGUUCAAGGAUGAAAGACGGUUUCGGCUGUCACUUACAGAUGGACCCGCGGCGCAUUAGCUAGUUGGUGAGGUAACGGCUCACCAAGGCGACGAUGCGUAGCCGACCUGAGAGGGUGAUCGGCCACACUGGGACUGAGACACGGCCCAGACUCCUACGGGAGGCAGCAGUAGGGAAUCUUCCGCAAUGGACGAAAGUCUGACGGAGCAACGCCGCGUGAGUGAUGAAGGUUUUCGGAUCGUAAAGCUCUGUUGUUAGGGAGGAACAAGUGCAAGAGUAACUGCUUGCACCUUGACGGUACCUAACCAGAAAGCCACGGCUAACUACGUGCCAGCAGCCGCCGUAA
rnacentral:rRNA from 1 species